rnacentral:lncRNA from 13 species
GAGGGAGCGUGGUGUCCACUAUCCUGGGCGCUGCAGUGUCCUUGACCCUGAACCUGCUUCUCCUGUCCCUACCUCUCACUCUGGGCUCACAUGCUGCCUCCUCCUGGAAGCCCUCCUGAACUGGCCCAGACCAAAUUCUCUGAGGAUCUCCUUCGAGGCUGCGGUUGCUGUCGUGUUUUAGCCUGGACUGCGAAAGCUCGUCUGGGUGGACGCUGUUUCUCCCCAGGGGAUUCGAUUUUCCCGGAACGCCAGCAGGAGUCAGCGGAAGGUGGGUUGGGGGGUGGAAGGGAAGCAGAGCCCGGGGGGCAGGGCUGCUGGGAUGCGUGCCCGGCUCUGUGCAGGGCUGUGGGUCCUGAGCUCCUCACUCAGCCCAUCUGGCUGCUCCUCUCCCGAAGACCAGAGCUGGGCACAGCAGGUGGGUUUUACAGGUGUGGGCUCUCACCUGGACACACGUCCCAGCUUGCCGGAUGGCGGGGGCUGCUCCUGGCCCGGCAGGAAGGACGAUCAUGUGGUCUCCGUGAAUGGGGAGGGGGGCUGCUGAUGCCUCCAUUCAGGGGGUGCCUGGAAAAGCCCCCGGGCCCCUGGCCCCUGUGGCUGUUUAAAGUCUGUGAAAUCCGAAUCCGCAGCUGCCCGGGGUCGCCUCCGGGAAAAAAUGCUGGGUGUGAGGGGCCAGAUACAGGUGAAGCCUUGUAUCUGGCAGUGUCCUUGUAUCUGGGAGUGUCCACUCAAGGAUCAGCCUGUCAGGGUCAGGCCCGGGGGUCCCCAAGGCUGAGGGACGUUCAGGGCCGAAGCCAGGAGAGUCCCAGGUGGACGUGUGGGCGGUAUGUGUCCCUGUUCAGCUCCCCAGGCCAGACCCCCUCCCUGGCUUUGCAGGUCUGGGGGUGCUGCCCCUCCAAUUCAGUGGGGUGGGGCCCUGCCUCAGUGCCCCCGGGGCAUAGCAGCUAUGAGGACCUGGCUGGAGUGCUGAGGGCCCCCAGGCCUGGGGCCCAGGUGGCUUGGAGAGGCCUCCUCAGCUCGGCGUUAACUAUGGGGUUGGUGGCUUCAGAGGCCUGGAGCGGAGAGCCUGGCUGCAGGGCUGUGGCAGUGCCAUGCGGCUGCCCAAGUAAAGUGCCACGAGCCAGGUGGUUUAGAAAGCAAACCUGUCCUCCCACGGCUCUGGAGGCCACAGGUCUGAGAUCUAGGCUUGGGUAGGGCUGCGCUCCCGGCAGAGGCUCCGGGGGACCCUUCCAGCCUCUUCCAGCCCCUGGUGUCUCCAGGCGUACCCUGGGGUACCCUUCCCGCCUCUUCCAGCCCCUGGUGGCUCCAGGCGUACCCUGGGGGACCCUUCCCGCUUCUUCCAGCCCCUGGUGGCUCCAGGCGUACCCUGGCCUGUGGCCUCAUCUCUCCACCCUCCGCCCCGGCUUCUCACGGCCAUCUCUUCUGCAUGUCUGUCUCUUCCUCUGCUCCUGUGAGGACACCCGUCGCUGGAUUUAGGCCCCACCCAGAUAACCCAGGAUCAUCUCACUUCAAGAUCUUUUGAUCAAUGUGCAAAGACCCCACUUCCCAACCAGGCCAGUCACUGGUUCCCAGGGUCAGCUGUGGAGACGUCUUUCGGGGUGUGAAGCUCAGGUUCUCAGUGCCUGCCCUGCACCACUGUCUCCUCCAGCAGACUCUGGGUGUCCACGGAAGGGCCGACGGCUGCCCCUGACCCAUGGGGGGGCCCAGCUCUGACACCUGAGCUUCUGAAUCACUCGUUUAGUUCUUCAAGAACAUUUUUUCCUCCCAGGCACCGUGGGCCUUUCCAGAGCACCCCGGGGUGGGGUCGCGGAGUGCUGCCUGGGCUGCUGCCCUCCUGUCCUGGCAGAUGCUGGCGCCUCCGGGAGUCCUCGCCAGUGAGCCAUGUGGUGGAGAGUCCCUUGCCCUGGGGGCCCUGUCAUCUGGGCAUAGUUCACAGUCACCUGGAGCUGGAGAUGUGAUGGGAGGGAGGCCCAGCCCCCAGCACGUGCCCUGCCCCCCUUCCGGGCUCCCUGAGGCUCCACUGAAUCCUUGGAGGGAAGAGAGGCUGGAUUCCUGGUGGUGACCUGAGGACUCACACAGGUAAAUCAAGCAAGACUGUGGGAGCCUGCACCCCUACACCUGUGCACCUGGUGCAACCCCACACCUGAACAACCCCAUGCUUGUGCAACCUCACACCUGUACAACCCCACACCUG